rnacentral:lncRNA from 10 species
UGAACUGUGAGGGCCAGGAGUGGACCAGAGAUGCUGGCCCCUGUCCCGAUGGGAUUCAGUCAGAGCCUGGGGGAAGUCAGAGUGACACCAGCCUGAGAAACACAUCUGGGUUCUGGCUCGUCUACUCAUGAACUGAAGGACCGUUUACUGAACAGCGACUCUGUGCUUGGGACACAGCAAUGAGCAAGACAAACAGGGUCAUCAGGUCCUGUAUUUAUAGGACAGAGACACCAGGAGCAGUGGACCAGCACUUUUA